UAUUAUUUUAUUUGAUUCUAUAUCAUAAUCAUAUAUUUUAUUUCGAAUUACAAAUGGUUAGUUAUUUAUAACUAAUGAGACAUUACCCACUUUCAGUCAUAAAGAGGUAAGCAGGAAAGGCGGAAAUUAAGACGACAAAGAGAGAAUCGACCCUUCAAGUAUUGAAAAUUACAUCGAAAAUGUGACAGGUAGAUAUAUAUACCUAGGAUAUAUAUCCGGCUAUAUUGAAUUGCAGAUACAGAAAUGGUACAAUCAUAGUCGAUUGAACCAAAUAUGGUUUUCCUAUAGUCCUCAAAUACGGUUCUCCUAUAGUCCUAUAGAUAGUCUAUAUAAAAUAGGUAAGAGAUAAAAGAAAACACUUUUUCGAGAUAGGAAUCCGGUAUCUAAUGAAUUCAACGAGUUCAGUAUAAAUGAAAGAAAAAAAGAAACACAUCACAAUGAAAUUUGAAUCUAACGCAAAAUGAGGGGGGAUAUGGCGAAAUUGGUAGACGCUACGGACUUAAUUAGAUUGGGCCUUGGUAUGGAAACUCGCCAAGUGAGAACUUUCAAAUUCAGAGAAACUCCGGAAUUAAUAAAAGGGGGCAAUCCUGAGCCAAAUCUUUUUUCUGAAAGCAAAAGUUCAGAAAGUGAAAAAAAGGGAUAGGUGCAGAGACUUCAAU
rnacentral:precursor_RNA from 1 species